rnacentral:rRNA from 1 species
CCUUUGACGUUAGCGGCGGACGGGUGAGUAACACGUGGGUAACCUACCUAUAAGACUGGGAUAACUUCGGGAAACCGGAGCUAAUACCGGAUAAUAUUUCUAACCGCAUGGUUCGAUAGUGAAAGGUGGUUUUGCUAUCACUUAUAGAUGGACCCGCGCCGUAUUAGCUAGUUGGUAAGGUAACGGCUUACCAAGGCGACGAUACGUAGCCGACCUGAGAGGGUGAUCGGCCACACUGGAACUGAGACACGGUCCAGACUCCUACGGGAGGCAGCAGGA